rnacentral:lncRNA from 10 species
CAGGGUUGACGGGAGCCCCAGCAUGUGGCGGGGCCGGGCGGGGGGCGUGGGGUGCUGCGGGGAGCUCUCUGAGGAUGGCGAGCGGCUGCCCCCAUCGUUGGCCAGCGGGAGCUGCAGGGCUAGGGGGGUGAGAACCAGUGGCAGGGAGGGGGGUCAGCGCCCAGCUGGUGUCAGCUCCACAUCUGGCACUCCAGGGAGGGGUCGGGACCCUCACCUUCCCCUCCUGGGUUUCCCGAGCUAGGCUGGCACAGCCCCCUGCCCUGCUGGGCUGGAGGAGCUGGGGUCUCCCUCCCACCCCAGACUGUUCUCAGGGUCCCUUGUCUCAUCCCCUGACCUGGAAAGAGAUGGAGGAGGCUAGCAGGGGAGAGGGAGCCCCAAGUCUACGCUGACGGAGAAACGAGAUGGGGACCUGAGGUGUCCCUCGGCCAGGGGGCCUCCCUGACAGGUGUGUGCACUUCCUCCCACUUCUGCCCAGGAAGCAGGCCCAGGGCCACAGCACCCACAGGAUGGAUAGGCCAGGGCGGAGUGCCUGCCAGGGCUGGCCCAGGCUGUGGCUCUGCUGGUAGCACUGAAGUUGGCUCCCAGACAAGAGCGAGCAGGGCCACGCUGGGGAGGCAGCGGGCACGAGACCCAGGCUUCAGGCUGCCUUGCCCUAUCUUCUGUUCCGGGGUCAGGGAGGGCCCCCCUCGGGCCAGUGGGCUGACAUGAGGGCCUCCUGGCCUGGCCUGCAGAGCUGGGGCCCAUGGGGGCAGGACAGGACCUCAGGGGGCCUGCAUCCUCUGGGAGGAGAGCUCGGGGGACCAGGCAGGAGCAGGGGAAGGGCUCUGGGGACCUUGGGACACAGCCAGGCCCAGCGUUCAUGACUGGCCUAGAGGCCUCACCUCCCGUGCCCCUCCCGCUGUCCUGGCCACUGCCGCCUCUGCAGCACCACGUCACCUCCCACUGUUUUUUUUUUUUUUUGAGAUAGGUUCUCGCUCUGUCACCCAGGCUGGAGUGCAGUGGCGUGAUCUCAACUCACUGCAACAUCCCCCUCCCAGGUUCAAGUGAUUCUCCUGCCUCAGCCUCCUGAGUAGCUGGGAUUAUAGGUACACGCCACCACACCCAGCUAAUUUUUGUCUUUUGAGUAGAGAUGGGGUCUCGCUAUGUUGGCCAGGCUUCUCCCUCUGCUUCUUCAGGUCCCUGCGCCUCUGCUCUGUCCAUGGCCUGAGCCACAGCCCCAGUCCCCUUCUGGCUCCCGAGGGCCUGUGCUCCCCCCAACCCAGCCCCCAACCCCUGUGCACCUGGCAUCUCUUGAGACACUGCCUAGUUCCCGCCCUCAGAGAGUAUCCGAGUCCCGCUCACACCCUGCACUCAGCGGUUGACGACCACAGCCCUCGAGGAGUCCUGUGGGCCCCUUCCCUGACAGAGCCCACCAGGCCUUCCGAGGGUGGCCCCGGAGCCUGGGGAGGAGGCUGCCGGACCACAGACUGGAGCAUGGGGGGAUGGAAGGGAGGGUUCAGGUAGGCACUGGGGGAAGGAGGUACACAAAGGCCCUGAGAACAGAGGCCACAGAGGUGGUGAUGGCCACAUGGCAGCUCAGGAGGGUGGAGUGAGAGCAAGAGGGUGAGGAUGAGAAAGAGAACGGAUGAGAGAGAGCGAGAGGCUGGAGGGCACGUGUCUGCCGACAGGAGCCACAGGUGCACCGGCUGCCAUGUCAACAUGCACGCACAUGCCGUGCAAGUGCACGCACGCACAACACACACCCGGGGCAUGCCGUGGACCUAACACCCAUGCAGCCGGGACAGAGUCCCCCUUGCCCUCGGACACACAUACUCACAACCACUCACAGGGCCAGGCACCCCAUCUACUCUCUCUCCCAACACAGGCGUGGGGCACAGCCUGCAUGCCCCACACAGGCUGGCGCUGCGCUCAGAGCCCUGGCGGCCCUGUCUUCUCUCCCCCCCCAACUCCUUCAAGACGCUUUUUAAAUUUUUUUUUUUUUUGAGACGGAGUCUUGCUCUGUUGCCCAGGCUGGAAUGCAGUGGCGCGAUCUCAGCUCACUGCAACCUCCACCUAAUCUUUUAUGUUUUUUUUUUUUUUGAGAUGGAGUUUUGCUCUUGUUGCCCAGGCUGAAGUGCAAUGGUGCGAUCUCAGCUCACUGCAAUCUCCGCCUCCCGGGUUCAAGCGGUUCUCCUGCCUCAGCCUCCCGAGUAGCUAGGAUUACAGCCUCCCGAGUAGCUGGGAUUACAGGUAUGUGCCACCAUGCCCGGCUAAUUUUGUAUUUUUAGUGGAGACGGGGUUUCUCUAUGUUGGUCAGGGUGGUCUCGAACUCCCGACCUCAGGUGAGCCACCCGCCUCGGUCUCCCAAAGUGCUGGAAUUACAGGUGUGAGUCACUGUGCCUGGCCUAAUCUCUAGUAUUUUUAAUGCAGACAGGGUUUCACCAUGUUGGCCAGGCUGGUCUCGAACUCCUGACCUCAAGUGAUCCACCCUCCUUGGCCUCCCAAAGUACUGAAAUUACAGGCAUGAGCCACUGCGCCUGGCCCAGUUUUUAAAUUUUUGAGACAGGAUCUCGCUGUCACCCAGGCUGGGGUGCAGUGGUGUGAUCAUGGCUCCCUGUAGCCUCAACCUCCCCGAGUGUUGGGAUCACAGGUGUGAGCCACCGUGCCUGGCCUCCCCAGAGGCUUUGUUCAAUUCCCACCGUCUCCAGAGGUUCCCCCAGGCUGGCCCCCUGCAGGGCCGCUCACCCAGCUAGAAUGUUCUCUCUGGUGGGAAUGUGCUCCUUGUCCAGUGGGCCCCCCUAUUGCAGCCCCCCGCUACAGAGGAGAGGGGCUCCAUCUGUUCUAUUCACUGCUGUGUCCCUGGCGCCCAGGGCUGGUAUGGAACCCGGGGGGUGCUAUGUGUUCACCUAGUUGUUGAGAG